rnacentral:rRNA from 1 species
GCCAAUGGCACUGCCCGGUAGCUAAAUGCGGAAGAGAUAAGUGCUGAAAGCAUCUAAGCACGAAACUUGCCCCGAGAUGAGUUCUCCCUGAGACUUUAAGUCUCCUGAAGGAACGUUAAAGACGAUGACGUUGAUAGGCCGGGUGUGUAAGCGCAGCGAUGCGUUGAGCUAACCGGUACUAAUGAACCGUGAGGCUUAACCUU